rnacentral:rRNA from 1 species
GAUGAACGCUGGCGGCGUGCCUAAUACAUGCAAGUCGAGCGAAUGGAUUAAGAGCUUGCUCUUAUGAAGUUAGCGGCGGACGGGUGAGUAACACGUGGGUAACCUGCCCAUAAGACUGGGAUAACUCCGGGAAACCGGGGCUAAUACCGGAUAACAUUUUGAACCGCAUGGUUCGAAAUUGAAAGGCGGCUUCGGCUGUCACUUAUGGAUGGACCCGCGUCGCAUUAGCUAGUUGGUGAGGUAACGGCUCACCAAGGCAACGAUGCGUAGCCGACCUGGGAGGUGGAUCGGCCACACUGGGACUGAGACGCGGCCCAGACUCCUACGGGAGGCAGCAGUAGGGAAUCUUCCGCAAUGGACGAAAGUCGGACGGAGCAACGCCGCGUGAGUGAUGAAGGCUUUCGGGUCGUAAAACUCUGUUGUUAGGGAAGAACAAGUGCUAGUUGAAUAAGCUGGCACCUUGACGGUGCCUAACCAGAAAGCCACGGCUAACUACGUGCCAGCCGCCGCGGUAA